UACGUAGGCAGCAAGCGUUGUUCGGAAUUACUGGGCGUAAAGAGUGUGUAGGCGGUGCUCUAAGUUCGGUGUGAAAUCUCCCGCUUAACUGGGAGGGUGCGCCGGAAACUGGAGUGCUCGAGCGUGGGAGAGGAAAGCGGAAUUCCUGGUGUAGCGGUGAAAUGCAUAGAUAUCAGGAGGAACACCUGCGGUGUAGACGGCUUUCUUGGACCAUUGCUGACGCUGAGACACGAAAGCGUGGGUAGCAAACAGG
rnacentral:rRNA from 1 species